rnacentral:rRNA from 1 species
AAAUGGUAGCCGAGUGACGGUACUUUAUUAGAAAGCCACGGCUAACUACGUGCCAGCAGCCGCGGUAAUACGUAGGUGGCAAGCGUUAUCCGGAAUUAUUGGGCGUAAAGAGGGAGCAGGCGGCAGCAAGGGUCUGUGGUGAAAGNNGAAGCUUAACUUCAGUAAGCCAUAGAAACCAGGCAGCUAGAGUGCAGGAGAGGAUCGUGGAAUUCCAUGUGUAGCGGUGAAAUGCGUAGAUAUAUGGAGGAACACCAGUGGCGAAGGCGACGAUCUGGCCUGCAACUGACGCUCAGUCCCGAAAGCGUGGGGAGCAAAUAGGAUUAGAUACCCUAGUAGUCCACGCCGUAAACGAUGAGUACUAAGUGUUGGAUGUCAAAGUUCAGUGCUGCAGUUAACGCAAUAAGUACUCCGCCUGAGUAGUACGUUCGCAAGAAUGAAACUCAAAGGAAUUGACGGGGGCCCGCACAAGCGGUGGAGCAUGUGGUUUAAUUCGAAGCAACGCGAAGAACCUUACCAGGUCUUGACAUACUCAUAAAGGCUCCAGAGAUGGAGAGAUAGCUAUAUGAGAUACAGGUGGUGCAUGGUUGUCGUCAGCUCGUGUCGUGAGAUGUUGGGUUAAGUCCCGCAACGAGCGCAACCCUUAUCGUUAGUUACCAUCAUUAAGUUGGGGACUCUAGCGAGACUGCCAGUGACAAGCUGGAGGAAGGCGGGGAUGACGUCAAAUCAUCAUGCCCCUUAUGACCUGGGCUACACACGUGCUACAAUGGAUGGUGCAGAGGGAAGCGAAGCCGCGAGGUGAAGCAAAACCCAUAAAACCAUUCUCAGUUCGGAUUGUAGUCUGCAACUCGACUACAUGAAGUUGGAAUCGCUAGUAAUCGCGAAUCAGCAUGUCGCGGUGAAUACGUUCUCGGGCCUUGUACACACCGCCCGUCACACCACGAGAGUUGAUAACACCCGAAGCCGGUGGCCUAACCGCAAGGAAGGAGC